rnacentral:rRNA from 1 species
AGAUUGUAACCUUGGGGUUGGCUCUUGUCUAUGUUUCUUGGAACAGGACGUCACAGAGGGUGAGAAUCCCGUGCGAUGAGAUGCCCAAUCCUAUGUAAGGUGCUUUCGAAGAGUCGAGUUGUUUGGGAAUGCAGCUCUAAGUGGGUGGUAAAUUCCAUCUAAAGCUAAAUAUUGGCGAGAGACCGAUAGCGAACAAGUACAGUGAUGGAAAGAUGAAAAGAACUUUGAAAAGAGAGUGAAAAAGUACGUGAAAUUGUUGAAAGGGAAGGGUUUGAGAUCAGACUCGAUAUUUUGUGAGCCUUGCCUUCGUGGCGGGGUGACCCGCAGCUUAUCGGGCCAGCAUCGGUUUGGGCGGUAGGAUAAUGGCGUAGGAAUGUGACUUUACUUCGGUGAAGUGUUAUAGCCUGCGUUGAUGCUGCCUGCCUAGACCGAGGACUGCGAUUUUAUCAAGGAUGCUGGCAUAAUGAUCCCAAACCGCCCG